rnacentral:rRNA from 1 species
ACGGAGGAUGCGAGCGUUAUCCGGAUUUAUUGGGUUUAAAGGGUGCGUAGGCGGCACGCCAAGUCAGCGGUGAAAUUUCCGGGCUCAACCCGGACUGUGCCGUUGAAACUGGCGAGCUAGAGUACACAAGAGGCAGGCGGAAUGCGUGGUGUAGCGGUGAAAUGCAUAGAUAUCACGCAGAACCCCGAUUGCGAAGGCAGCCUGCUAGGGUGAAACAGACGCUGAGGCACGAAAGCGUGGGUAUCGAACAG